UACCUGUAACUUACACCGUACAUGACCUUCUGUUGUCAGCAGCGAGGCGGGCAGCUCGGGAUGGGAAACAGUGGAACGUACUUUACAUGCUGCCCUCGUUGCUGGCGUGCUGGCUUUUUGAUAAAAAGCCGCAUCUGAUUUACACAAAAUGAUGCGAAUCUCUGCUUCCAGCGCAAGUCGUAGCAAUGAACCCUUGGUGCGACUGGUGUGGACCAGUCCCAAUAGACCCAUCACCGGCAGCAGCCCCGAGGUGAGGCUAGAGAUUUGGUGGAAAUUCCAGAAUGUAUCGAUGCAUAAAACGAGACACUGCGCAUACAGGCUGCUACCAUGAGUGUGAACCAAGCCGG
rnacentral:lncRNA from 1 species